rnacentral:siRNA from 1 species
CAAGGUGAACAGCCUCUGGU